GCUGGGCAUGGUGGCUCAUGCCUGUAGUCCUAGCUACUUGGGAGGCUGAGGCAGAAGACUCACUUGAACCUGGGAGGCAGAGGUUGCAGUGAGCCGAGAUCGUGCCACCGCACUCCAGCCUGGGUGACAGAGUGAGAUUCUGUCUCAA
rnacentral:SRP_RNA from 1 species